GGGGGGUCCUGGGUUGAUCUUCAUUUGAUGGUCUAGAACAAAAGGAAGGAGGAGGAGAGGCUGGGGUCAGUGGGGGCCAUUGGACUAUGCCAGGUGAGCUAGGGAUCAAUACACGCUGGGUAAUGGUUCUGCUUGGGACAUCUAAAACAGUGUUGGAGGGGGUGAGUGAGGGGGAGAAUGAACUCGGGCAGUAAAGGAGAACAGUUUUGGUUGUUUAUUAUUUGAAUCAGUGCUAAUAUCACUCUGCUUGUUGUUUCCAGGAGCAGGUUCUGCUAGUCGGGAGAGUGGUGGAGAAACCAAAGGUACAGGCGCCCCCUGGUGGACGACGGGGGGGCUGGCGCUGUCCGAGUGAGAGGCCAUUAGAUCUAGUGACUAAAG
ensembl:lncRNA